rnacentral:tRNA from 1 species
AAUGUGGAGCCUGAUUAAAGGAUUAUCGUGAUAGGAUAAAACAUGUGAAUUAUUAUUACCCACAUUA